UUAGGAGGCGCAGUGGUUAACGCAGCUGAUUAGCAAUCAGAAGGUCAUGAGUUCAAGUCCCAGCACUGCCAAA